UACGGAGGGUGCAAGCGUUAUCCGGAUUCACUGGGUUUAAAGGGUGCGUAGGUGGACAGGUAAGUCAGUGGUGAAAUCUCCGGGCUUAACUCGGAAACUGCCAUUGAUACUAUCUGUCUUGAAUACCGUGGAGGUCAGCGGAAUAUGUCAUGUAGCGGUGAAAUGCUUAGAUAUGACAUAGAACACCAAUUGCGAAGGCAGCUGGCUACACGAAUAUUGACACUGAUGCACGAAAGCGUGGGGAUCAAACAGG
rnacentral:rRNA from 1 species